rnacentral:sRNA from 1 species
GCAUACUUGUGCGGUUCCAAGUGUGGAGAAAGCGGCGCUGGGUCUAGAUUGAGGGAUACUCCCCCUUUCCACCAUGGGCAAGAAGGGCAAAGUUGGCAAGAGCCGACGAGACAAGUUUUAUCACUUGGCGAAGGAGACGGGUUACCGUUCCCGAUCUGCUUUCAAGCUGAUCCAGCUCAAUCGCCGCUUUCAGUUCCUGCAGAAAGCCCGAGCCUUGCUGGACCUGUGUGCUGCGCCAGGGGGAUGGCUGCAGGUAGCUGCCAAGUUUAUGCCUGUAUCCAGCCUUAUUGUGGGAGUGGACCUGGUUCCAAUCAAGCCUCUCCCCAAUGUGGUGACUCUCCAGGAGGACAUCACAACAGAACGUUGUAGGCAGGUAAUAGGAGUCUCUCUCUUCCUUCCCCCUUUAUACGGAAACAUCUACAUCCCUGAAAUCCUCUAAAGGCAAGUUUUUCCUUUUUACCGUGCUUUGAGCACGUUCUUGCCUGACAUCUGUACGACAAGACCUAUGGCAUUCGUAGUGUCCACUCCAGGCUUUAUUUAGAGUCAGGGAUAAAGGUGUUUGGAAUUGGGAGAAGGGCAGAGAUCUUUAGUGAAGUCU